UGCCGAGCUGCAUACUUCCUUGCAUACCCAUACUUGAUCCCCUGGUCGGACAGAGAUAUGGAAUGUAAAGAAGUAUGUAGAGCGGUG
rfam:Caenorhabditis japonica strain DF5081 Contig3162.2, whole genome shotgun sequence.